GAUGAACGCUAGCUACAGGCUUAACACAUGCAAGUCGAGGGGCAGCACAGUGUAGCAAUACACGGGUGGCGACCGGCGCACGGGUGCGUAACGCGUAUCCAACUUUCCCGUUACUCAGGGAUAGCCUUCCGAAAGGGAGAUUAAUACCCUGAUGGUGUUUGAAAUUCGCAUGUUCUUCAAACUAAAGNUUUAUCGGUAACGGAUAGGGAUGCGUGACAUUAGAUAGUAGGCGGGGUAACGGCCCACCUAGUCUACGAUGUCUAGGGGUUCUGAGAGGAAGGUCCCCCACACUGGUACUGAGACACGGACCAGACUCCUACGGAGGCAGCAGUGAGGAAUAUUGGUCAAUGGGCGCGAGCCUGAACCAGCCAAGUCGCGUGAGGGAAGACGGUCCUAC
rnacentral:rRNA from 1 species